AUGAGAGUUUGAUCCUGGCUCAGGACGAACGCUGGCGGCGUGCCUAAUACAUGCAAGUCGAACGCUUCUUUCCUCCCGAGUGCUUGCACUCAAUUGGAAAGAGGAGUGGCGGACGGGUGAGUAACACGUGGGUAACCUACCCAUCAGAGGGGGAUAACACUUGGAAACAGGUGCUAAUACCGCAUAACAGUUUAUGCCGCAUGGCAUAAGAGUGAAAGGCGCUUUCGGGUGUCGCUGAUGGAUGGACCCGCGGUGCAUUAGCUAGUUGGUGAGGUAACGGCUCACCAAGGCCACGAUGCAUAGCCGACCUGAGAGGGUGAUCGGCCACACUGGGACUGAGACACGGCCCAGACUCCUACGGGAGGCAGCAGUAGGGAAUCUUCGGCAAUGGACGAAAGUCUGACCGAGCAACGCCGCGUGAGUGAAGAAGGUUUUCGGAUCGUAAAACUCUGUUGUUAGAGAAGAACAAGGACGUUAGUAACUGAACGUCCCCUGACGGUAUCUAACCAGAAAGCCACGGCUAACUACGUGCCAGCAGCCGCGGUAAUACGUAGGUGGCAAGCGUUGUCCGGAUUUAUUGGGCGUAAAGCGAGCGCAGGCGGUUUCUUAAGUCUGAUGU
rnacentral:rRNA from 1 species